UACGUAGGGUGCGAGCGUUGUCCGGAAUUAUUGGGCGUAAAGAGCUUGUAGGCGGUCUGUCGCGUCUGCUGUGAAAAUCCGGGGCUCAACCCCGGACUUGCAGUGGGUACGGGCGAGACUAGAGUGUGGUAGGGGAGACUGGAAUUCCUGGUGUAGCGGUGAAAUGCGCAGAUAUCAGGAGGAACACCGAUGGCGAAGGCAGGUCUCUGGGCCACUACUGACGCUGAGGAGCGAAAGCGUGGGGAGCGAACAGG
rnacentral:rRNA from 1 species